GUACACGUGGAUAUCCACCUCUUAGUGGGGAAUAACUUUGGGAAACCGAAGCUUAAUUACCCGCAUAAGCCUGAGAAGGGAAAGCAGCAAUGCCGCUGAGAGAGGAGUCCCGCGGCCGAUUAGCUAGUUGGUAGGGUAAAAGCCUACCAAGACGAUGAUCUGUAUCCGGCCUGAGAGGGCGCACGGACACACUGGAACUGAAACACGGUCCAGACUCCUACGGGAGGCAGCAGUGGGGAAUUUUGCGCAAUGGGGGAAACCCUGACGCAGCAACGCCGCGUGGAGGAUGAAGUCCCUUGGGACGUAAACUCCUUUCGACCGGGACGAUUAUGACGGUACCGGAUGAAGAAGCCCCGGCUAACUUCGUGCCAGCAGCCGCGGUAAUACGAGGGGGGCGAGCGUUGUUCGGAAUUAUUGGGCGUAAAGGGUGCGU
rnacentral:rRNA from 1 species